ensembl:lncRNA
GGAGCACUGACUCUGACAAGCCUCUAAGAGGGACAGUGACCAAUGAGGUAAACCCACUUGUUAAUGCCAUUAAAAUAACAAAUUAAAAAUCUAUUUUAGAUUAAUUAAUAUACAAUAAUAUAAAUAUAAACAUAUCGUUUUUCCAAGUCAUGUGUUUUACCAACAAUUUUCCAUUUUAUACACAUGUAUUUCUCUCAUUUUAUUCAACACAUUAAAACCAAAUCUAAUGAUGCAAUGUUGCUAAUUUAAUAAAAUUGUGUUCAAGAGCAAUUGGAGACCAAUUCAAGUUGCCGUAACAUGAGAAGACGGCUCUGAAUGAGGGUAAUUAAUAACAAUAAAAGCUGGGAAUCGUGACCCGCGCAGCGCCAGCUCUGCUAAACACAAACAAGCAGCUGAGAUGACGCUCUGAGGACCACAGUGCCAUCAACGACACUCACUCGCCCCCUCCCCCUUUCCCUCCCCCGCCCCCAGCCACAGAUUCCCGCACCUCCCGACUAUCGCCGCACACGUCACACACGUUUUUCUCGUCCUCGUUCAUCACCCAGUCCACCAGCACCACAAAUCGCCUUCUGACGACUGAUGAGAGUCUACCCGAGGCGUCGAGGUGCGACGCGGCGCCGGACUGAACUUCUACGUGCUUGAUGACGUGGCCAGUCGGAUCACUCGGCCUCGCCCCGCCGCUUCUGUCCUCGUUUCCAGACUCUCAGCCCACACUGCCCCUGAUACCUCACUCGCUCCCCCCUAUCAAAGCAAGUGCCCUGCAUGUUGUCUGCCGCUAUGGAAGGAACACCAGGGCGAUUAGAGAAGGAGCCCCAAAAAAGUGAUUUCUAUCCCUGAAAGAAAUAAUGUUUUGUUCCAACCAGGGAGCCGCAGGUACAAAUCUGCGCCAGUGAGAUCUGCUCUAUCUAACCAGCAAAAAGAAAUUGUACUUGGCAACCUGACACAAAGCGUUCUGGAUGGGUGGUUGCUUGAAAGGAAAAUGACAAGCGUGAGUAAUGAUAAUGCAAUAUGACUGAAGGGUCAUUUUUAAAGAGAUGUUUCAAUCAGAGGCUGGGAAACUGUCCUUGGACAUAAAAUCACCAGUUGUAUUGAGAAUUAUUCCCAGCGCACGAGAGGAUCAAAUAUUAACCUUCACCAGCAAGUGAUGGUACGUGGGUCAUACAAUCUACAAUGUAUUUUUUUCCUUCUUCCUUGUUUUCUCUUAAACUUCACUGAAUUGAAAUGUUGGGACAGUGUUGUCAUGAUAAUCAUUCUUUGACAUUUCUAAACCCUCUGGAAUGUCUGUGAACGGUGAGCCGUCCCGGUACCGAGAAAUAGCUGUCGUUUGAGAACAUUUCAGCACGUUUGCUGCGCCUCCAAAACAACCGGGACGGCGACACUCAAACUGCUGAGGCUACUUGCUCCCGCGGGAUAAGGCUUCAUCUUUUCUAAAAUACAUUACCUGAGAUGUUCAUGAAAUGGGCUAGUUUGAGACUGACUGCACUGAAUUUAAAGGGUGGUUGAGGGAAGCCAACUUUCUUUUCAUCCAUAAUUAUUUUGGGACCUGGGGGAACACAAUUUCUUUUUUAGAAAUCAUUUUUCAGAAAUAUUUUCAAACGUUGCCUCUCACUUGUACACCAGUCCUGCCAAGCAGCUUGUUUUUUCUUUUUUUUGACCAAUUAUCAUUUUAGAGCCAUGCGUUGUCCGUUAUUCAGUAGCAUGCUCCAUGUGCAACAUUUUGGGGCGAGCCAUCGUGUUUGAUCUGCUCCAGUCACACCGCGUCCAGCUGGGACGGUCUAACAAAGCCAGCAUUUAGUUUAAUCUCCUAUGGAGAAGGGUACGAUGUACCGCUGCAAGACAAGUUAUCAUCAAAUGCCAAAGGCCUAUGAUGCAAUGAAAGAAAACAUGUCACCUGGUCAGCAGGCUUUUUUUAGAGAAAAUGGGAAUUUUUAAUUGAAGAUUUGACCAGAUAAUUUGUAGUUGCCAAAAUAAAAGCACUUAAAAUAAAGGAUGAUAAAGGAGAAUACAAGUGGAAUGACCGGGUUGUCUCUCUUUAAGGUUUACUCCAUCCAUAAAGGCCUAUGAUGUUACACUACAAAGUGAGGCAAAAUACAAAUCAAAUACAAAAAUAUUAUGUGUGUCCCCUGCCAUCUCACAGUUUCCCGCCGCAGCCUUUGAUUUAUUUCUUUUUGGUCACAGUUUGACACUGUGUGGUCCUUUCUUUGUCCUAAAGAGACCUGGCACUUAACACAUAAUCACAAAUCACAAGCAUACCGACAGUCUUUAUGUGGCACACACGGACACACACAAAAUGCAUUUAGUACAUUUAACCGUGGGUACGUGUUUGUGUGAGGCAGGUGCAAGCAGAGAGCCCAGCUGAGAUUACACAGUGUUGACUCAGACUCUGUUACUCAGGCAUUUAGGCUCAGCUUGCCGCUUGCCAAGGCCCAGCUUCGGUAUCACUUUCAGCACUUCUUUGCCCCUACUGGGGCAGGGAAAAUGCUCAUUUUUAUGGCGGCUUCUGCUGUUUUGUCAACCUCCUGCUUAAAGGCAUUUGUCCAUAAUUGGCUACAAUGCUUUCUGUAGUUAUUUUGCAAGGUAAGCAUAUGCAUCUUUCAAAUAUUGAACAAAUGCACCCUUACUCCAAGAUUUCCCUUUGGCAGCUGUCUUAUCCAGAAUCCAGAAGCCAGGGCUGAUGUCACAAAGAAACUGGACACUGUAGUUUCUAAUGUCUGUAAUAUGGGAGUGAUACAAAGCCGAGGCCACAGCCAGGAUAUUUAGAGGUCAUUAUCCCCCCCAACAUACCCCUCACCAUUCUGACCAGGAGUCAAUAUCUCUUAACGCUAUUAAAUGUAUUUAUUCAGUUGUUUGUUCAGUUAUACUUUUUGCAAAUGUAACAUCUUAUCAAGCGUGUAAAACACCCACCGUGCGCAGGUUUUGGGAAUAUAAUGUCGAUACUCCCAGGUGGCAAAAACACAGAGGACACGAUCUGCUGAAUGGCAGCCACUGACACGGGUCCUUUGUCUGAGGCUGAACAUUUGUUAAUGAGCCAGGCGGUUAAAAAGUGUGCAGGAGGGUGGACGACUAUCAUGUUGGGUGAGGAAGACAAAGUUUUCAAAUGGUUUGCCCUUUUGUUUGCAGCUCCAAGCUAACCUCUUAGCACACAGUGCUAGCAUUUUCAAAAAAGAGUGUUGUCGAAAUGGGAAAAGAAAGGUGAUGAUGUUGUAGGACUGAUGUAGGCUGAUCAAUAAUUUUGUCCUGCUAGCAAUUGAGACAGAUGAUGCCUGCGUGGGGGCCCAUUGCCAUAAAGUGUAUCGAGAACAUUGAUGUUAAUCAGAGGAAGAGCCCUUUUCCCAUUUGGACUCUCCAUGAGCUGUCCUCUAGCGCCACCCUCAGGACAAAACAUUUUAAAUUAAUAGCCAGAUUUCCACUAAAGGGAUAACUUAAUUUUUUGUCAAAUACACUGAGAGGCUUUCUUUCUGAUGGCUAAAUGCGGAGAUUGUUCCCACUGUGCCAGUUGUCGUUUAGCUUAGCUUAGCAUAAAAACUGGAAAUGGAAAAAAUAGCUCGCCUGGCUCUGUCCAAAGACAAAAAUGUUAAAUGAUAAAUACAAUUGUUUGUUCCCAGUGUUUAUGCUAAGCUGGUCGGCUGCAGUUUAAUAAGGCGGAUAUCGUUGACAUGAGAGCCUAACUCUCACCUGGAAAUCCUGGAUUAUACUGAAUCAGCCUUUUGCCAGCAUUCCUCUCUUUGAUAACGGACUGCAGACCUCGUCAACAGCCUGAAUUAUGCAAUGACAGCUAACCCCAACCCCAAUGUAGACGAGGGACCCACAGAUAAAAUAAAACAUGAGACACUCCUUGUCAUACUUUUCAGAAACAAACAGAGAAGUUGCCUUAACUUUUGCUUGUAUAAUCCAUUCAGUUACGAUAAUGAUGCUCGCCUGUCAGGAAGACGCUCCCUUCUUUGUACAAAAUGAAAUGUAACAGAAACAACAACGACUUUGUUAUCUCGCUAGUGUCAAUGUAUAGAUAAUCAGCUUUUUCUGUAACUUGUAUGGACUGUCACAUUUUUGCUAAAAAGGAAACCCUCCUCCCAACUCCCUCGUUCCCAAACAUUCGAUCUGUUCAACGUUUUGACUUGUGGUGGACUGUCAAUCUUUUUGUGUACAUUUUAUAGUAUUAUUUAUUGUUGACAAGGUUUUGCAUUUGCAAAUAAUAAAUUAAAAAAAGUAAAAUAAAAGUAGAGGUGAUUUGACCUGAGCAUUGGAUUGCGAUGUAAAUGCCUGGUGAACACUGAAUUUCUUUUUUAACUAUUAAAAAUGGAGAAAACAGCGACACGAGGAGACGAUCUCCUGUCUUUUAUUAUGACGUUGUAACAUGUACAUAACAUGUGGCCAAAUUUGCUUUGAAUCUUUUUUUGUGUUGUAACAGUAUUUGUUUUAUCCAGUGAAUUGCUCAUGAAGACAAAUAAAUAAGAGGCACACAACCUUGUGUCAGAUGGGUCAUA